CACUUGGCAUUAAGGACCCAUAUUUAAUGCCGAUGUAGAUGUUUUCGCCGAUAAGAAAUUGGACUGUUAACCAGCUUCCUCUUGUCUUGGACAAAUGGAACUACACAUGUAUCUGCACUCUCGUAUCCCUGAUCGACAACCUGUGUGUACCGACCUUCGCCUGUUCUCCGACUCACCCCGUAAGCCUGACUCCCUCGAUACUUCUGCCUGCUUUGAACGUUCUCCUGUAUACCUGACCUGCCGUGUACCGACCCUCGCCUGUCCCCGGACCAUCUAACCCUUUCAGUCUUGGUGAAUGUACACCACUGAAGAAAGGAUUUGGGUUUCAGACUUGUGCUCUUCCAGACAGCUGCUCGAGACGAGAGUUGGUUCAAGCAGCGCCAUGUGUGUCACGACAUUGAUGAAGGCAACAGCAGGGGCCACACACUCAACGUCCCAUCUCCAUGGUGCAACAUAUUAAAGUCUCAUUUACUGACAAAAGACAUUCAGGCCUGCUGUUUAGUCCCACCGGU